rnacentral:rRNA from 1 species
GACGAACGCUGGCGGCGUGCCUAAUACAUGCAAGUCGAGCGAAUGACGAGAAGCUUGCUUCUCUGAUUUAGCGGCGGACGGGUGAGUAACACGUGGGCAACCUGCCCUACAGAUUGGGAUAACUCAGGGAAACCUGGGCUAAUACCGAAUAAUCCUUCGAAUCACAUGUUUUGAAGUUGAAAGGCGCUUCGGCGUCACUGUAGGAUGGGCCCGCGGUGCAUUAGCUAGUUGGUGGGGUAACGGCCUACCAAGGCAACGAUGCAUAGCCGACCUGAGAGGGUGAUCGGCCACAUUGGGACUGAGACACGGCCCAAACUCCUACGGGAGGCAGCAGUAGGGAAUCUUCCACAAUGGACGAAAGUCUGAUGGAGCAACGCCGCGUGAGUGAUGAAGGUUUUCGGAUCGUAAGACUCUGUUGUAAGGGAAGAACAAGUACGUUAGGAAAUGAACGUACCUUGACGGUACCUUAUUAGAAAGCCACGGCUAACUACGUGCCAGCCGCCGCAGUAA